rnacentral:rRNA from 1 species
UACGUAGGGUGCAAGCGUUAAUCGGAAUUACUGGGCGUAAAGCGUGCGCAGGCGGUUUUGUAAGUCAGGUGUGAAAUCCCCGGGCUCAACCUGGGAACUGCAUCUGUGACUGCAUAGCUAGAGUACGGUAGAGGGGGAUGGAAUUCCGCGUGUAGCAGUGAAAUGCGUAGAUAUGCGGAGGAACACCGAUGGCGAAGGCAAUCCCCUGGACCUGUACUGACGCUCAUGCACGAAAGCGUGGGGAGCAAACAGG